rnacentral:rRNA from 1 species
GGCWAGGAGAGGAUCCUGCGUCUGAUUAGCUAGUUGGCAGGGUAAUGGCCCACCAAGGCGACGAUCAGUAGCCGGCCUGAGAGRAUGAUCGGCCACACUGGAACUGAGACACGGUCCAGACUCCUACGGGAGGCAGCAGUGGGGAAUWUUGCGCAAUGGGCGMAAGUCUGACGCAGCAACGCCGCGUGKGUGAUGAAGGUCUUCGGRCUGUAAAGCCCUGUCRUCAG